GGCGGGGCCUAGGGGUCGGACUGCCGGACCUCUCCUCGGCGCGUCCCAGCGACUUUUUUAGGCCUGUUUGUCGCCCAGCAGUACUCGAUUCUUCACUUUUGGAUUCCCUUGAAUCUCUAUGGUGUCCUUUGGAGCCUAGCUAAGUAAAAAAUUAGAGACCUGUGGGCCCCUUAUAUUGGAAUCGGAGCUUAAGAUGGGAAAGGUUUGCUUGAAAACGUUUCUGCGAGCGAUGGAGGCGCGUCCUGCGACGAGGCGGGAGGAGCGCUGGGACCUGGUGGAUGGGAGAGGGCGACGGUAUAAGGAAGCUCUUGGAUCCAGGAACUUCUGAAAUCCGGACGAUUAAAAUUUGUAUUUAAUUAAGCGAAAGCUGGAGUUGUCUGCGUAGGUGAUGGAAACUGGAAUGAGAUGCAUUUUUGUGCCUGUGCGGAGUGUACAAUUUUAUAUUGACUUUCACUGGAACGUAAUUUUUAUUUCCGCUCCCCAGUCACCCAGGAGGCAGAGAUGCACCAUGGGCUGAGUUCCAGAGAAUUUAUGGGGUCAGACCCUGGGCGGUGGGGGGUGGAAGGCUGAGGCUUGGCUUUAAAAGAACGCAAAGUUCUGCUUGUAUCGAUCUAAAUUUAUUUUCCUUUAUUAUCCUAAUGCACAUUUCUUGAGAUAAAUUACAAAUCCAAGUGCUGGAUUUAUUGGAGUUGGUAUGUUGUGUUUUGUCUAAGUUAUUAAUUACUAAUAUACUAUCGUUAUUAUUAUUUUUAUUAUUAUUUUGAGAUGGAGUCUCUGUUUCCCAGGCUGGAUUGUAAUGGCGCGAUCUCGGCUCACGGCAACCUACGCCUCCUGGGUCAAGCGAUUUUCCUGCCUCAGCCUCCCGAGUACCUGGGACUACAGGCGUGUGCCACCAUGCCUGGCUAAUUUUUGCAUUUUUAGUAGAGACGGGGUUUCACCACGUUAGCCAGGGGGAAGAAAUCGUCAUAAGUGAAAGGUUAUUUUCCAUGAAAAUGUGGCCCACAACUCGUGUUGCCAUGCAGAACCUUCUGCUUACUCAAUAUUGAGUGCUGGAAAAUGACAGAAUGGCCUCUGUGGACCUGAAAAUUGGAAUGAUCUUCCUAUUUGUGGGCAGCAAGCCACCCAGCUGCCGAGGCAAGAGACCGAGGGCACGAGCUGUUCCAGCAUAAUAAAAUAUAUAAAACAACAAGAGUUAUAUUAGAUCUAGAUCAUAGACAUGAUUAUAUAUGAA
rnacentral:lncRNA from 1 species